rnacentral:rRNA from 1 species
UACGUAGGGGGCAAGGCGUUGUCCGGAAUUAUUGGGCGUAAAGGGCUCGUAGGCGGUCUGUCGCGUCGGGAGUGAAAACUUACAGCUUAACUGUGAGCGUGCUUCCGAUACGGGCAGGCUUGAGGUAUUCAGGGGAGAACGGAAUUCCUGGUGUAGCGGUGAAAUGCGCAGAUAUCAGGAGGAACACCGGUGGCGAAGGCGGUUCUCUGGGAAUAUCCUGACGCUGAGGAGCGAAAGUGUGGGGAGCGAACAGG